GGAUUGUAGCUCAGUGGUAGAGUGCUUGUCUCACAAGAAUGAAACACUGGGUUCAAUCUUCAGCACCA
rnacentral:tRNA from 1 species